AGGGAAGUCUGGGCAUCCCUGCUUAGACUGCUGCCCCCGCGACCCGGCCCCGGAUAAGCGGAAGAUGAUGCUAUGCUAUGCUAUGCUAGGCUCUGCUUACCUUUAUCAUGUGCCGGCUCAGAACCUGUGAAUCUCGUAUAGGUUGUCUGGACCGGGUCGAAUUCCUUCUCCUUUAUUCCAUCUCGGACGAGCCCACAAAAUUGUUGAAGUCUAACACUUCCCCGAGUUUGAUGGAAAGGAGAAUAACACACCAGGAGUCAGGUCAAUUACCUUACCGUAUAUUCCAUUUAUUACAGAAGCUUCUGGAGUGUCGCCGCACAAUGUCUGAAUAUUAACAGUCACAUUAGCAUUAUUUAUACUUCAAACACGCCUAAAAGUGGGGGGUUGAGGUAACCAAGCAUGUGUGCCAUUGGUCCAGUUUAUGUUCUAUACCUUAUAUGUGUAAAUGCAGCACAAACGUCAUCUUUGCUCUUUGUGGUUUCAGUCUUGAAUUCUUAAUUCAGCCCUGCCCAGAUGUGUGUGUGUGUUGUUAAUCUGUCCCUUCUGUUUCCUGUAGUCUGACACACAAGCUCAAUGUGCUCUUGUUCCCCAGCAACAGCCUACAUAAGAUUUCCUGUUUUCUACUUGCAACUUUAAGUUCCAGCUAUGCUACAGACAUUUAACAUUUUGCUUCAAUGCUCACAACAGUUUGACAGCUAAUACACUCAAUGUAUCCACGGGUUGCUUACUAUUUUUGUUUGUUCGUUUAUCCUCAAGUUUGGAUGUUUUGUGCUUCUUCGCAUAUCAACAGUUGAACAGGUGUAUGGUAACAUUGUUACCUAAUUUGUCUAAAUCGUGUUUCUUAGUGUAUCAACAAGCUAGAAUUUUAUAAUAUGUGCUUACUCCUUGUAAUUUUUAUCAACUAAUAUGUAACGUUAGCUAAAUCGUGUUUCUUUGUGUAACGUUAUCCACAUCAUGUGGAUACGUUACUCUUGGCAGUAAAUUUAGAUAGACUAGCUAAACCUGGACUUGUUGCAAUUCCGUUACUGAGGCGUCUUUGUGAAUCCCCAUUGUUCUUAGCUAGCCUGUAUGUGUCUUAUGCUGCUGUUUUUUUAAACCACUUUUAUAAACAAUGCUUUCAGGUGAUUACGUUUUCUGUAGUUUUGUUCCCGGAGGAGGAUGACUGUGUGGCAGUAGUUCCAUGCUUGUGGCUCAAAGUAGGACUUUGCUACUGGCCACCAAACAGCAUCACCAACAGGAAGUCCUUCAGGUGGUGAACAAGUUCUGGCAAACUUGUUGUGGCCGAAGACACCUGGGAGGCUGUCCCUUGUGGAAUCUGAGCAUUAACAAUUACAAUAUGAAUACACGUGAGAGACCGGGCGUGUGUAUCGCCAAAGGAGUGAAAAUCGUUCCAGCGUGGGCCCCUACCACCCCAAGGACGCACAUCUACAACACAACACCCUGUGGAUUGUAGCCCUGGAGGAUGGAGCAAGCACAGUACUCCAAGGCACCAGAGAGGUACUCCACGCCAUCAUGUAGAGGACGGCUACAUAGAGCAAGAAGGCAGAAGUAGGGGGAAGUUUUAGCUCUGCACAUGAAGAACAUUUGGAGAAGAUCAAGUGGCUGACUGAAGAGAAGGUCGAGCUGGCUCUACAAUCUGCUUCUGAUAAACGUCUGACUGAAAAGAAUGUCAAGCCGAGGGUACAGCUGGCUCUACAAUCAUGAGCCAUAAUGAAGAAUCCUUCAAACCACUGAUGCCACUGAUGAGGCUGUCCACAACCAGGUCCUCAGGUACCAGAAAGGGGCAGCUGACCAUGCAAGUGGGAGAUGUCGCAGCGGUACAAGGGACCCGCCGUGAAUAUGAAUGACAUCUCCAGCACAACCAAUAUUGCUGCUAAGCUGCAGUACUGUAUUUCUUUAUUUUUUUUGCUGCUAUGUACAGUGUUAUAUAUAUGAUUGCAUUAUCCUCUUAAUAUAUUUAUAGCGCUGUGUGAAUGUUCUUAAUUCUGAUUGUGGUUGUAGUGUUAUGCCACCAUUCAUAAGCGUAUUGCACUGAUGUAUCUAUGAUAUUCAAUAACUAUUGAUUGCUGCU
ensembl:lncRNA